CAUUUUCCACCAAAAGGCAUGUUCAUUUUUUAAUUUGACUCAAAUGCCAUUUCAUAUAGAAGCAGUUUGUUUGUCUACUUAAUAUAUCAAUUCUGGAAAUACCUGUUCUUUUCAUAUCUAGAUUAAAGAUAUCUAUUUUCAUACCCCAGCUGUGCUUUGUCUGUAAGUGUUUUACUUUAGUUAAUUGUGACAGCUGUGACUAUUUUAAGAAGCGAAAUACUGGGACAGUUCUAAUGGUACAGUUCUAAUGGAGACAAUAAGUUACUGUUACAAGUGUGACAGUAAACCAUUAGUUCAAAAAAUUCCUUGUGCAACAGAUUAGUGUUGCUACUUUGCUAUUUUCUGAAUCCAGUGCGACUGUAUGGUACUAGUUGUAAUUCUAGUGUAAGUAAUUUAAUAGCUGCUGUAGCAAGUACAUUACAUAACUAGGGCAGUGCUAAUGUAAGAAGUUGACUACUUGACACAUGAGACUACAAUGCUGUAUAAGAAGUUAGCUACUGUGACAGGUUGUUACUGCAGUUUUAGUGUAAGGCAUUAGCUACUGUGACUACAUCACUAGUGUAAGAAGUUAGAAAUUGACACAUGCAAAUACAAAGUAAUUUGUAGCUGCUGUGACAGAUGCUUCUACACUACAAGUGUAAGAAGUUAGCUACUGUAAGAAGUUAGCAACUGAGAUAGAUGUAGCUACAAUAAAAGUGUCGCAAGUUAGCUUCUGUGACUUCAAUAUUUACGUAAGACGUUAGCAACUGAUACAGAUGAAGCUGCAAUACUAGUGUAGCUACUGUGACAGAUAUAAGUUACAGGUGUAACUGUAAAGUACUAACGUACUACUAGCAAUGUGGUAGAUAUAUAUAUAGUAGACAGUAUAGUACCGUAUACAGUAUCAAUAUAUUGAUCUGAAAUUUCAGGUAUCUGCAUCCAGACACAUUAUUAUCCAAUGCUAACUGAUGUCCAGACUUGUGAGACUAACCCCCCCAAAGUAAUCGAAAACUAGUGUGAACUCGGAACUGCCACAGUGUGACACUGGACAUUGAAAUUAUUCCAUAAAGUUUUCUCCAGAAUGGUUUCAAAUAGCCAGCUGUAGCAGUAGAAUUGGUGAACACGUUUGGACCAAGAGGAAAGAAACAAAGUUGAAAACAGGACCAGUAUGCCGUCACACUUGUCAGCAGCCUGCAGCAUUUCAUUAGCAGCAGUAUGCAAGAUUUGUCGUGAGUACUUUGUGGACCCUGAUGUCUCAAUAUUCUGCAGAAGAUUUUUAUUGCCAGCAGUCGACACAUGGACCACUAUAGUCUUCAUAUCUUAGCAUUUUGCAGCACUUUGUCAAAUAUCAGUCCAGUCUGACAGUAUCAUGUUGCUAAGUCUGUUGGCAGCUGAAUUUGGUCACUAUGGUAAUUUAGACUUAGUAAUAGGUCUUUUUAAGUCCUGGUUACUAAAAAGCUUGCUGGUUAUAUUUGAUUACUAAAAGAGACACUGUUUGGCAUAGCUAUGUUUGAUACUUUUGAAGUUACUUAGAAGUUAUAUGAACACCUAGCAUAUUAUACCAGGUUAUGCUAUCAAGCUUGUUAUUAAAAAAAGGACAUCUUGCUUUUGUGAGUUGAUAAAGAUCUAUGAUCAGUAGACCAACCUUGUCUACCUCAAAACCUCCAUCUUGCCAUCUUCAACAAUACAUGACAUGAAGCUCCUUUGUAUAAACUUAAUGACAUACAUAGAUAGUAAAAAUGGCAAGAGGACAAUGUAUAUUGUGCCAAAGCCUUGUUUCUUUGAAUGUCUUGAGUAGAGAACAAUCUGAAGUGCAUCAAAGCUUUGUUGUUAGACCUGAAUGCUACACCAUCUCUGCAUCAUUGGAAUGCCUAAUUAAGAGAAAAACAAUGCACACUUUUAUGAGAAUAAUAUUCCAUAGACUGGUUUAUGUUGCAAGAAAUCCUUGUUACCAGUAUGAUUGUUCAUUGUACAAUGAAUAUGAUAAUGGACACUGUAUGCUGCACAAAAAAAGCCAUGUUAUUGGAAUGCCUACCCUACAGGACAAUUUAUGCUGCACUCAAGCUUUGUCGUGAGAAUGCCAAGCUUCUAGGACCAGUUAGACGCUUUCUGACUUGAACAAAAAAAAAUGGUGUUGGUUUUUGUUAGACGAUUGUUGACUCCACUAGCGUUAUUAUAGAAACCAGCAGCUCUGUUUACUGGCAUGUUUGAAGGAAGUGAGGAACAAGCUAUAUGAUUGUAUGGUGACACAUUGAGCAGACGACAGUGACAAGGUGACUUGUAAAGAACUAUGUAAACAACUAGAAAAGACGGAGUUCAACAGCCCGCAGAGAUGCUGAUGAUUAGUAUCGUUUCCAAAUGGUGUAUAAAUAGGUGUCAUGUUGUCAGAAGAAAGUUGUGCUAGUUGUAGACAGUUGUCAUAAAGUUUCAUAUUAUUUGUCAUUGGCUGGAAGUCUAGUGAAGACGUCAUGGAUUGUCUUUGAGUGUAACGUUGUAAGGAUGUUGAAGAAAAAGUGGACCAAAUUGUUAUGAAAUGUAAUCUUUGAUGCUGGAAUUCCUUGUCAAGAAUGUCUUUUUGAUAUGUUUGAUGAACAUUUUCUACAUGUAUGGAAUUAGAAAAUCACUUGCCCUAAUCGAGUAAGGUAAAAAUUGCCUCAUUUUUGUGGGUUUAUUAAUAAACCUGAGAAUGAAUAUUUAUGUUAUGUCAACAAUAUAUAUUUCAACAAUGAAUAUGUAGAGAAUUUUUAAAAAAUAAUCUUUGAUCAGGGUUUACUGAUAAACCCAUUACUUGCCAUAACACCAGUGUAGAGUCAACACUCCCAUAGAGACUACUGUAUAUUAAAACAUUGAAUGGACUGUUCUUGAUUCACAACAGGGCAAAUCCAUAACAAAAAAAAUCAGCGAGUUAAGAAAUGUUUUCAAAACCAAAUACAGUAUAUAUUGCAUACUUGUGUUUUCCUUAGUCAAGUGUUGGCACAAUGUUGCUAGAUAAAAUGUAAAAGAAGACAUUUACACAUUACAACUUCUUCUCCAAC